GGGGCGGGACCUGGGCCCCGGGGACCUGCCGGCUCCCAGGCCCCAGGAAGACGCUGCUCAUGCGUGGAGCGGCCGCAGGAAAGGUACUCCCCGCUAAGGCCUUCAGGGAGCGGCCCUUUGCCCUGUGCGAUCUCUUCCUUCCUUUCCCACGGGUUGCCAAAUCCUGUGACGCUGCCCCUUCUCUGGUGCUUCUCAGAUGCUCUGGUCGGCUCAGGAGACCUCGCAGCUGUUACACAGCUGUGGAAAUACCCUGGGCGCUGCUUCACUCCGAAGGCAGCAGCUGGGUUUGCCUCCCGACUCGACCCGCCACCGAGGCUCCUGAGCACUUGAAAUAUGGCCAGUCCACCUGAGACGGGCUGUGAGUGCGCAAUGCACAUCAAACUUCUAAGACUGAGUGUGCGUGAGCCAUCAUGCCCAGCCAACUGGUUUGUGAUUAAAUGUUUUGAUUGAUGCAGUUUUUGAAAUGUACUGUGUGUACAAUAUUACUCUUUUGAGACAGGGUCUCACUCUGUCACCUAGGCUGGAGCACAGUGGUGCAGUCAUGGCCCACUGCAGCCUCUGCCUUGUAGCCUCAAGUGAUCCUCCUGCUUCAGCCUCCUGAGUAGCUGGGACUACAGUUGUGCACCACCAUGCCCACCUAAUUUUUAUUUUUUUAAAGAUGGG
rnacentral:lncRNA from 1 species